UUGCUAUGGCCUGGGAAAGCAGUAGAAGAUGGCCCAAGUCCUUGGGCCCCUGCACCCACGUGGGAGACUGGGAAGACGUUCCUGGCUUCAGAUUGGCACAGCUCCAGCCAUUGUGGCCAACCAUCGAAUAGAAGACAGAUCUCUCUCUCUCUCUCUCUCUCUCUCUCUGCUGCUGCCUCUCUGUAAUUCUGCCUUUCAAAUAAAUAAAUCAAUCUUUAAAAAAAUAACUUGAAUGUCUACCAAAAAUCGAAUAUAAAAAUGCGCUACUGUUUUAAAGUACCUAAGCCAAACAUAAAAACCAUUGUGAAUUCAUGAAAACAUCUCAAACCAUUGUUGUUGCUGCUAAACUAAACACAUUUAUUGAGGAAGGGGCAUUCAGUGGUGGAAAAACCUGGGACUUUCAAAGCAGAGCAGAUAUUUAAAUAGUUCUAAAUUGAGCCUUUAUUAUGCAUCUGGAACCAAGCUAAGAGUUGGGUAUACAAUAGCAAACCUUGGAACUAUGUGAUUUUGGCAAAUUUCUUAGGACUUAUAGUCUUAGUUUUUCUUAACUAUAAAUAAAAAAACAACUUAUGUCCUAAGACUAUUGUAUAAAUUAAGCAAGACGAUGUAUGUCACUGUCAAGAGCAGCGCCUGAUUUAGUAGCUACUUAACAAGUGAUAGCUGCUUCCUUCUCUCUCUAGGCUAGAUGCCAAUAGGGAGCAUGCACAGGACUCGAGCCCUGCCUCAAGGAACACAGGCUGGACCCAGCCUCCACUGCUUAGUCAUUUCCUGACUCCAAAUACUGAACGAAGUGACAGGAUAAAUGCAAAAGCUCCAAACCAAGUCUUGACUCCUGCAACCAAUGAUAGUGUGAUAAGAAUAGAACAAGAUGUGAAUCUCUCCACUUGACUUGGGCAUUCAAGUCAAGUGCAUCAUGUGCCAUCAUGUGCAGCAGCCAUUCACCAACCUUUAAUUGCACACUGUAUAAAUAAGCAACAAAGAAAAGGACUUGGAGGGAAGAAAGAAUGCCCAUGAGCUUCAGUGUCGACGUUCCCUAUUCUCUGAUUCUGCUUCCAGAAUUUGGCUUCCUGCUCAAUGUUCCCCUACAAAGGUUUUCUGCUGGAUCCCGUCACCAAACCCUCUUCUCCAGCAGAUGGACCAGCUGGAACUUCAGCACUCACCUUGUGAACCUGAGGAAAGACCAAGAGAGUCUCCAAGUUGCCUUCCUGACAGUUUGCAGCCACUGAAACAACACAGCAACCUGAACCUCAGAACGUAUUAUUGUUGACAAUAGCCACCUUAACAGGUGCCAUCCCGGCAUUUUCAAUCUCCUGUGAACUAUUCCCAUGUGAUGACUCUUGUCCCCUCCACCUGGGCCCUGCCAUCACUGGACAUUGUUACUACCCCAUGGUUCCAUCACUCGCUUUCCUUGAGAUCUACCAUCUUCCUCUGUGAUGCUCUCUUUGCUCCCUGUUGACAUGUGCUGGAGGGAAUGCCAAGGAAGCUCGCUUCCUUGAUAAAAAGACACACGUGCCGCUGGUAAGCCCUUCCAAGGUUUUCCUUCUUCCUGCCUCAAACACGGAUGGCACAGCUGGGACUUCAGCACUCACCUUGUGAACCUGAGGAAAGACCAAGAGAGUCUCCAAGUUGCCUUCCUGACAUUGCUGAGCCACUGAAACAACACAGCAACCUGUACCUCAGGAGAAGUUCUCACGUGAGAAGUAAACCACUAUCGUUUAAGCCACUGUGUUGUCAUAUCAUUGGUAAGAAAGCACUGCUGGGUGCUAUUCAGUCCUGGGGAAGCAUGCACAUCAGAAUUCUCAUGGUUCUUUGGUGCUCAUCAACUUUAUUCUGAUGUCUGCCUGGAAAUUCUUAGUCAAAUCACCUUGCAGGGCUGAGCUGAGAAGUGUGACAGCAGUAUGUGUGCCUCUGACACAACGACUACACAAAUUACCAGCUCCACCAAUCCUCAAGCAUUGGAGUCCAUGUAUGCCAACCUACUUCAGAGAAUUUUAAGACACCAUAUCUAUUAAGACAUACCCUCUUAUGUCUUAAUCUCCUAAUAAUAUGUACUCUAACUUCAAGCUCUGGGAGUAUAAGUGCAAAUGCGCUCAGAUCACUAAGUUUGCUCAUUCUAGAGGACAGUCACAUUUAAAUAAAUAAUCUUAACUUCACACGCAUAAAUAAUAGAAGUGCUUUCUAUCAUGGGAAAAUUUCUUGAUAUUUCUCCAGAAUUUCCCUCUCUGGAUAAUAUACAGUGUCUUGUACACAAUAUCAACCUCCCUUUCAUUGGAAAAUAUUUAAUCACAUCUUCAAUUGCUACUUCUUCCUAAUAUUGACUCUCCAGUCCACUCAAAUUUAGUUUCUGUUCUUACAAUUUAAAUUCUAGCAUUAAGUCACCAAAGAGCUGCAUGUCACCAAGUCAGUGAAAUGUCCAAAAUUCUAUGUGAUCUCUCAGCAUCUUUUUUACACAGAUUUCUGCUCCUCCUUUCUAAUAACCAUCUCUUCCCUUGCUUUCCAUCUUCCCAUGUCUCUAUGCUUUCCUUGUUUUUUUUAUAGUUCCCUUUAUGAAUUCCUCUGCCUUUACCUAAACAUUUUACUCGACCCAGCCUUAAGCCCUCAUUUUUAUGUUAAUUAACUAAUUUGAAAUGAAUAGCAUCAAAGAGAAAGGGAGAAACUAACACAAAAAUGGAGAGAUUUUCCAUCUGUUGGCUCACUCUCCAAAUGCCUGCAGAAGUCAGGGCUGGGCCAGGCUGAAGUCAGGAGCCAGGAAGUUCAUACUGGUCUCCCACGUGAGUGGCAGGGGCCCAAGAACUUGGAUCAUCUGUUCCCUUCUCAGGUGCAUUAGCAGGGAACUGAAUCAGAAGCAGAGCAGAAAGGACUUGAACUAGAACUCCAACAUGGGAUGCUGAUGUUGCAUGCACAGCUUAACCUGCUGUGCCACAAUGCUGGCCCCCUUGAACCUCUUUUAUCUCUACAUAUUCUCUCCCAGUGUGAUUUGACUUGUUCUCAUAUCUUCAAACACCAUCUGUAAUCAAUGAUUUCAAAAUUACAUCUCCAGCCCAGAUCAGUCUUAUGAGUUGUAGAUAUAUAGGUCCAAAUGUUUAUAACACCUCUCUCCAUCUGGGACAUUUGAAUGUGUCAUAAGAAUCUCAAAUACAACAUGUCACUUCCAAAUAAACUUACUACCUGUAAACACCUGGCUCCAAACCUGCUCCUGCAUAGCUCUCCUUUACAGUAAGUGAUACCAAUAAUCUCCCAGAUGCUCCAACUAAAAGCCUGAGAGCCAUCUUUAACAGUUCUCUCUCCCUCAGCAUCUCCCUUCUUCUUCCAAUCUAGCUGACCCUGUUUUCUUUUUUUAAAAGAAAAAAAAUAUUUAUUUAUUUAUUUAUUUGAAAAGUAGAGUU